GUGCUCACUCUGACAGCACAUAUUCUAAAACUGGAACAAUGCACAGAUUAGCAUGGCCCCUGACCAGAGGUGGCUGCAGAUUCACAAAGCGCUCCAUAUUUUU
rnacentral:snRNA from 1 species